UAGGGAAUCUUGCACAAUGGGCGCAAGCCUGAUGCAGCAACGCCGCGUGCGCGAUGAAGGCCUUCGGGUCGUAAAGCGCUUUUCUGGAGGACGAGAAGGGACGGUACUCCAGGAAGAAGGCUCGGCUAACUACGUGCCAGCAGCCGCGGUAAAACGUAGGAGCCUAGCGUUAUCCGAAUUUACUGGGCGUAAAGCGCGUGCAGGCGGCUUUGUAAGUUGGCUGUGAAAUCUCCCGGCUCAACUGGGAGGGGACGGUCAAGACUGCGAGGCUGGAGGCAGGGAGGAGGGAGGUGGAAUUCCCGGUGUAGUGGUGAAAUGCGUAGAGAUCGGGAGGAACACCAGUGGCGAAAGCGGCCUCCUGGACCUGACCUGACGCUGAGAUGCGAAAGCUAGGGGAGCGAACGGGAUUAGAAACCCCGGUAGUCCUAGCCGUAAACGAUGUCGACUGGGCGGCGGGUGGGGU
rnacentral:rRNA from 1 species